UCAAGCGAACAAGUGCAUGUGGUGGAUGCCUUGGCGAUUACAGGCGAUGAAGGACGCGGUAGCCUGCGAAAAGCUUCGGGGAGCUGGCAAACGAGCUUUGAUCCGGAGAUGUCCGAAUGGGGAAACCCGGCCCGAAUGGGUCAUCCCUGACUGAAUACAUAGGUCAGGGAAGCGAACGCGGCGAACUGAAACAUCUAAGUAGCUGCAGGAACAGAAAUCAACCGAGAUUCCCAAAGUAGUGGCGAACGAAAUGGGAAGAGCCUUGUACUCUUUAGCAGCAUUGUUAGCAGAACGGGAUGGAAAGCCCGGCCAUAGCAGGUGAUAGCCCUGUAUGCGAAAACAGCGUUGUGGAACUAGGUGUACGACAAGUAGGGCGGGACACGUGAAAUCCUGUCUGAAGAUGGGGGGACCAUCCUCCAAGGCUAAAUACUCGUAAUCGACCGAUAGUGAACCAGUACCGUGAGGGAAAGGCGAAAAGAACCCCGGGAGGGGAGUGAAAUAGAUCCUGAAACCGCAUGCAUACAAACAGUCGGAGCCUGGAAACGGGUGACGGCGUACCUUUUGUAUAAUGGGUCAGCGACUUACAUUCAGUGGCAAGCUUAACCGAUUAGGGAAGGCGUAGCGAAAGCGAGUCCGAAUAGGGCGUUGAGUCGCUGGGUGUAGACCCGAAACCAGAUGAUCUAUCCAUGGCCAGGUUGAAGGUGCGGUAACACGUACUGGAGGACCGAACCCACUAACGUUGAAAAGUUAGGGGAUGAGCUGUGGAUAGGGGUGAAAGGCUAAACAAAUCUGGAAAUAGCUGGUUCUCUCCGAAAACUAUUUAGGUAGUGCCUCGUGUCUCACCUUCGGGGGUAGAGCACUGUCAUGGUUGGGGGGUCUAUUGCUGAUUACCCCGCCAUAGCAAACUCCGAAUACCGAAGAGUGCAAUCACGGGAGACAGACAUCGGGUGCUAACGUCCGGUGUCAAGAGGGAAACAACCCAGACCGCCAGCUAAGGUCCCAAAGAUUGGCUAAGUGGGAAACGAAGUGGGAAGGCUAAAACAGUCAGGAGGUUGGCUUAGAAGCAGCCACCCUUUAAAGAAAGCGUAAUAGCUCACUGAUCGAGUCGUCCUGCGCGGAAGAUGUAACGGGGCUAAGCCAGUCACCGAAGCUGCGGACGCACGCAAGUGCGUGGUAGGAGAGCGUUCUGUAAGCCUGUGAAGGUGUCUUGUAAAGGAUGCUGGAGGUAUCAGAAGUGCGAAUGCUGACAUGAGUAGCGAUAAAGGGGGUGAAAGGCCCCCUCGCCGUAAGCCCAAGGUUUCCUACGCAACGUUCAUCGGCGUAGGGUGAGUCGGCCCCUAAGGCGAGGCAGAGAUGCGUAGCUGAUGGGAAGCAGGUUAAUAUUCCUGCACCGUCGUAUGAUGCGAUGGGGGGACGGAUCGCGGAAGGUUGUCCGGGUGUUGGAAGUCCCGGUCCCUGCAUUGGAGAAGGCGCUUAGGCAAAUCCGGGCGCGGAAUUCAAGGAUGUGGGGCGAGCGGCCUAGUGCUGCGAAGCAAUUGGAAGUGGUUCCAAGAAAAGCCUCUAAGCUUCAGUCAUACGAGACCGUACCGCAAACCGACACAGGUGGGCGAGAUGAGUAUUCUAAGGCGCUUGAGAGAACUCGGGAGAAGGAACUCGGCAAAUUGGUACCGUAACUUCGGGAUAAGGUACGCCCUUGUAGCUUGACUGGCCUGCGCCAGGAGGGUGAAGGGGUUGCAAUAAAAUGGUGGCUGCGACUGUUUAAUAAAAACACAGCACUCUGCAAACACGAAAGUGGACGUAUAGGGUGUGACGCCUGCCCGGUGCCGGAAGAUUAAAUGAUGGGGUGCAAGCUCUUGAUUGAAGUCCCGGUAAACGGCGGCCGUAACUAUAACGGUCCUAAGGUAGCGAAAUUCCUUGUCGGGUAAGUUCCGACCUGCACGAAUGGCGUAACGAUGGCCACACUGUCUCCUCCCGAGACUCAGCGAAGUUGAAGUGUUUGUGAUGAUGCAAUCUCCCCGCGGCUAGACGGAAAGACCCCAUGAACCUUUACUGUAGCUUUGCAUUGGACUUUGAACCGAUCUGUGUAGGACAGGUGGGAGGCUUUGAAGCGUGGACGCUAGUUCACGUGGAGCCGUCCUUGAAAUACCACCCUGGUUUGUUUGAGGUUCUAACCUUGGCCCGUGAAUCCGGGUCGGGGACAGUGCAUGGUAGGCAGUUUGACUGGGGCGGUCUCCUCCCAAAGUGUAACGGAGGAGUUCGAAGGUACGCUUGGUACGGUCGGACAUCGUACCUAAAGUGCAAUGGCAAAAGCGUGCUUAACUGCGAGACCGACAAGUCGAGCAGGUGCGAAAGCAGGACAUAGUGAUCCGGUGGUUCUGAAUGGAAGGGCCAUCGCUCAACGGAUAAAAGGUACUCGGGGGAUAACAGGCUGAUACCGCCCAAGAGUUCAUAUCGACGGCGGUGUUUGGCACCUCGAUGUCGGCUCAUCUCAUCCUGGGGCUGUAGCCGGUCCCAAGGGUAUGGCUGUUCGCCAUUUAAAGAGGUACGUGAGCUGGGUUUAAAACGUCGUGAGACAGUUUGGUCCCUAUCUGCCGUGGGCGUUGGAAUCUUGACGGGGGCUGCUCCUAGUACGAGAGGACCGGAGUGGACGUACCGCUGGUGUACCUGUUGUCUCGCCAGAGGCAUCGCAGGGUAGCUAUGUACGGAAGAGAUAACCGCUGAAAGCAUCUAAGCGGGAAACUCGCCUGAAGAUGAGGAUUCCCUGGAGGCUUGACCUCCUUGAAGGGUCGUUCGAGACCAGGACGUUGAUAGGCUGGGUGUGGAAGCGCAGUAAUGCGUUAAGCUAACCAGUACUAAUUGCCCGUAAGGCUUGAUC
rnacentral:rRNA from 1 species